GAUGAACGCUGGCGGCGUGCCUAAUACAUGCAAGUCGAGCGAACAGAUGAGGAGCUUGCUCCUCUGACGUUAGCGGCGGACGGGUGAGUAACACGUGGAUAACCUACCUAUAAGACUGGGAUCACUUCGGGAAACCGGAUCUAAUACCGGAUAAUAUAUUGAACCGCAUGGUUCAAUAGUUAAAGACGGUUUUGCUGUCACUUAUAGAUGGAUCCGCGCCUCAUUAGCUAGUUGGUAAGGUAACGGCUUACCAAGGCAACGAUGCGUAGCCAACCUGAGAGGGGGACCGGCAAAACUGGAACGGAGAAACGGUCAAGAUUCCAAAGGGAGGCAGAAGUAGGGAAUGUUCGGAAAUGGGAGAAAGCAUGACGGAGAAAGGCAGCGUGAGGGAGGAAGGUUUUCGGAUCUAAAAACUCUGUGAUUAGGGAAGAACAAAUGUGGAAGUAAAUAUGCACGUCGUGACGGUACCUAAUCAGAAAGCCACGGCUAACUACGUG
rnacentral:rRNA from 1 species